UGCACUGUAGCUCAGCGGUAGAGCGGCCCGCCGUUAACGGGAAGGUCGAUGGUUCGAUCCCAUCCUGUGCAGCCA
rnacentral:tRNA from 1 species